rnacentral:rRNA from 1 species
CGGAGGAUUCAAGCGUUAUCCGGAUUUAUUGGGUUUAAAGGGUGCGUAGGCGGCUUUUUAAGUCAGGGGUGAAAGACGGUAGCUCAACUAUCGCAGUGCCCUUGAUACUGAAGAGCUUGAAUGUACUUGAGGUAGGCGGAAUGUGACAAGUAGCGGUGAAAUGCAUAGAUAUGUCACAGAACACCAAUUGCGAAGGCAGCUUACUAAAGUAUGAUUGACGCUGAGGCACGAAAGCGUGGGGAUCAAACAGGAUUAGAUACCCUGGUAGUCCACGCCCUAAACGAUGAACACUCGAUGUUGGCGAUAUACGGUCAGCGUCUAAGCGAAAGCGUUAAGUGUUCCACCUGGGGAGUACGCCCGCAAGGGUG